rnacentral:rRNA from 1 species
UCAGGACGAACGCUGGCGGCGUGCUUAACACAUGCAAGUCGAACGAUGAAGCACCAGCUUGCUGGUGUGGAUUAGUGGCGAACGGGUGAGUAACACGUGAGUAACCUGCCCCCUACUCUGGGAUAAGCCUGGGAAACUGGGUCUAAUACUGGAUAUGACCAAUCACUGCAUGGUGUGUUGGUGGAAAGAUUUUUUGGUGGGGGAUGGACUCGCGGCCUAUCAGCUUGUUGGUGGGGUAAUGGCCUACCAAGGCGACGACGGGUAGCCGGCCUGAGAGGGCGACCGGCCACACUGGGACUGAGACACGGCCCAGACUCCUACGGGAGGCAGCAGUGGGGAAUAUUGCACAAUGGGCGAAAGCCUGAUGCAGCGACGCCGCGUGAGGGAUGACGGCCUUCGGGUUGUAAACCUCUUUCACCAGGGACGAAGCUAACGUGACGGUACCUGGAGAAGAAGCACCGGCUAACUACGUGCCAGCAGCCGCGGUAAUACGUAGGGUGCGAGCGUUGUCCGGAAUUAUUGGGCGUAAAGAGCUUGUAGGCGGUUUGUCGCGUCUGCUGUGAAAGACCGGGGCUUAACUCCGGUUCUGCAGUGGGUACGGGCAGACUAGAGUAUGGUAGGGGAGACUGGAAUUCCUGGUGUAGCGGUGAAAUGCGCAGAUAUCAGGAGGAACACCGAUGGCGAAGGCAGGUCUCUGGGCCAUUACUGACGCUGAGAAGCGAAAGCAUGGGGAGCGAACAGGAUUAGAUACCCUGGUAGUCCAUGCCGUAAACGUUGGGCGCUAGGUGUGGGGCUCAUUCCACGAGUUCCGUGCCGCAGCUAACGCAUUAAGCG